UCCCAUCAUGUAAAAUGUACCGUGUCUAGUGGGCACUAUGUCAAUUAAGAGCUCCUCUUACACGCUAUCAAUAUUUUGUUAAAAAACGUCAGACUGUUUAUUAUUUAAUAAUACUAUAAUUUGUUUGAAUUUAUUAUCAAAAAACCUUAUUAAAGUAAUUAAAUCACAAUUAAGUUUAUUAGAUCCACAAUUCUGACAAUUACAACGGUAUAAUGAAAUGGACAUUAAAGUUUAUUAUGAAAAAUAUAUCAAAGGCUCACCAGAUAUUAAAAAGUGUUGACCUAUGGCUGACAUCGGUAAGUUCCGAAUGGGACAAUUGGUGUCACGACAGGCGCUUGUGUUCGACAGGCCAGCUAUUCAUGGCGAAGCAGGCCUGGAAAGAUACACUCAGAUGAAAGAGAUCUCUACGAGGCAGACUUCACUUAUUUAAGGUAACAUUAAUUUACUACUGCAAUAUGAGGGCUGGCGUGAUCGAAAUACGCCCACUAAGAUUGAUGAUUUGUUUGAGCAACCUACAAUUAUCUGAAUUGUAUACAAUAAAGUAAUUAAUGAAGUACCAUAGGGAAAUGUAUAUCUAAUAUGUUAUUACGGUUGCUUCAUUACUGACAUCAGUAAACUACUCCGAUCAAUGUAAAGUUCCUGGGUUUUAAAAAUGAAAACCCCUUUUUGUGAUAUUUUGUGGAAUAAAAUUUUCAAA